rnacentral:lncRNA from 1 species
AAUGCAAUUUCUAACAUUAGGACAAAAGAGAAAAGAGAAAAGCAGUGAGGAGGAUAUGUGGGUGCUAGGAUAUUCUGCAUCUCUACGCAUAUGAUGAAAGACGAGGCAGGGUUAACAACUCAGGAAGGUUCAGCAAGAUCUACGUCUGGGAGUGGCAGCUAUUCGACAUGUUCAGUAGAAAGUGUGGAAGCCACUUAGGAUCAAGACACAUCCAGGAAGCAAGAAAGAGGGGGCACAGAGGGACAAAAGAAAAAUGUCCACGGGAGAGCCAGGAAAGAAGUCUACAAGAGAUCUGCAGCUUAAAGAACCUGAGAAGUUUUCUGUCAACUGUAGGAGGAGGUUUGAGAGUAGAAAGAGAAAUCACUAAGAGACUGCCUUAUUUCUUCUAUUUCCCAUUUCCUCGUCUGUCUGAUUUUGCAAUCUGCUGUCCCUACUGGUGUGGUCAUUACUGGUCUAUCAGACCCUUGUGCCUAGCAUGGUUUAAUCAAUAGUCUAAGUUACUCUUUUACUGUAGCAAUGAAAGAAAG